GGGCGGUUAGCUCAGCGGUAGAGCACUGUGUUGACAUCGCAGGGGUCACAGGUUCAAACCCUGUACCGCCCACCA
rnacentral:tRNA from 2 species